AAUGUAAAAUUGAUGCUAUUAGGUUUUUGAAGCUAAUCCAGACCAGAAAACCGGCCGGUUGACGGUUCGGGUUGGGUUUUAAUGCUGUCGAGUCUUGACUUCCAACUCCUACAUAAGCGUCUAAAUUGCCACGUCAGAUUCAGAAUUCAGAAUUCUUGAACGGCCGCAACAAAUUCCAACAAGGAGAUUUGCUUUUUAUGGAUCCCAGUGCCCUGGAAAAGGAGGCUUCUUUGGAGGUCGCACGUGAAUCGCUUAUUGCCAUCUCGUACUCUGUUCCAGAUACAAUUCUCAGUUCAGUUGUAGUGGAAACUUUGAACACUGGACACCAAGUGGUGGCAACUAACAGUGACGGAGCUGACAAAUUCAGGUCCAAACUGAUCUCCAUUUCUGACCUCCGGUCUCCAGAUAUUGGAAUUAUCAGAUGCAAUGGGCAUCAUGAGAUUAGCUGUGAUCAUAUGUGAGACAUGGUUGAUAGUUUAAAACAACUUAUUUAGUUUGCUUUGCUUUGUGUGCCCUAUCAAAAUAGUGUGUGGUGUGGUCUAUGCUUCUGCAGUGUGAAAUGUACAGAGUGUAAACUCUUUGCGAAGUUAUGCUUUCAGAUUCCUCUGGCAGAAACCUUUCCUUCUUUGUGAAAGUAAGACAUGAAAAUUUUCUCUUGAUUUCUAAAUAUAGGAGGUAUAUUGCUGAA